rnacentral:rRNA from 1 species
AAUAGAUACCCCGGUAGUCCACGCCGUAAACGUUGGGCACUAGGUGUGGGUCUCAACCAACGAGAUCCGCGCCGUCGCUAACGCAUUAAGUGCCCCGCCUGGGGAGUACGGUCGCAAGACUAAAACUCAAAGGAAUUGACGGGGGCCCGCACAAGCAGCGGAGCGUGUUGCUUAAUUCGAUGCAACGCGAAGAACCUUACCAAGGCUUGACAUACACCGGAAACUUCCAGAGAUGGUUGCCCCGCAAGGUCGGUGUACAGGUGGUGCAUGGUUGUCGUCAGCUCGUGUCGUGAGAUGUUGGGUUAAGUCCCGCAACGAGCGCAACCCUCGUCCUAUGUUGCCAGCGGGUCAUGCCGGGGACUCAUAGGAGACUGCCGGGGUCAACUCGGAGGAAGGUGGGGAUGACGUCAAAUCAUCAUGCCCCUUAUGUCUUGGGCUUCACGCAUGCUACAAUGGCCGGUACAAAGGGCUGCGAUACCGCGAGGUGGAGCGAAUCCCAAAAAGCCGGUCUCAGUUCGGAUUGGGGUCUGCAACUCGACCC